AGAAGGAGAAGCAUGAAGAGAAGUCUGCCCGUAAAGAAAAGAAAGAGAUUGUAGAGGAAGAUGAAAAUGGAGCUGAGGAAGAGGAUGACGAUGAAGAUGCAAAUCCAGAGGAUGAUGAAGAUGAAGAUGACGAAGAUGAAGAGAAUGAACAGGAACCAGACUCACAUGCUGUAAAACGAUCUGCAGAGAAGAAGCAGGAAGAGGAUGAAGUGGACCCAAAGAGAAAGAAAACAGAAAAUGGCGCCUCCGCUUGAUACUAUCCCAUCUACACACACACACAUCCUCUCUCCAUUGCUCAUCUGUCCUCCCACCUUCAUUCCUUCACCUGUGCAGGCACCCACCUAAGUGUUAUAGCUGCAGAUGAGGACCAGAGGGGUUAAAUGUGCUUUCUGGCAAGGAUAGCAUCUGGAGAUGGCUCUUCUCCAGCUCCAAGAUCUGUUCCAUAUUACAGUGCUCCCCUUCUCUUCCCUUCCCUUAUUUCACACUCUCCAAGUUGCGGACCCUCCCUGCAUCUCCCAUCCCAGUAGCCCCAGGGUCUAGGAAGCUUGCUUCUUCUUCCCAAGCACCUUUUCACAGUUGCUGCCUAAUGGAGAUCCUCACAUGCCUCUGCUUUUCAACACCACUGCUGCAAAAUGCUCCCUGCCCUGGGCAAAUGUCUCCCUUUCCCAUUCCUUCUUUGGCUCCUUAUAGAAUUCCACAAUUGUGUGGAAGUUUUAUGGUGCUGAAAGGGGUUAAAUCAGCCUGGAUUUUACAGGUGGUUGAAGGGCAGGGAAUCUUGCAGGGAUGUAUUGCCAUCCUGUACCUGGUUCCCAUUCCAUUGCUGGGGGAAGGCAAAAACAAAGUAAAAACAACAUGAUUUAGGUAAAACUUGCUGAAAGUUUUUGAUUAAUACAUUUUGUACAAAUUUACAUGACAGGCAGCAAGCUGGAUCUGGUGAACUUUUUUCUUCCAGAAAGCAAAGCUUGUUUUUAAUGUGUAAAGUAAUACAUGAUUCAGUGUGUUUCUUCAUUUUGGGUGUUUGCUUUUUUAAAAAUUAGGGACCAAAAUUUGCUUUUUCCUUGUUCCCUUCAGAUCCUUCAGUUGUUGUUGUUCUUUCUUUGUAAAUUAAAGCAGACCCAUCUGCAGUAUUUUCUAUGCCACAGACAUUAUGAGGAUGAAAAAUAUAAAUAUAUAUAUUGUUUAGCACUGUAAAUAAAACCUUUCAAAAAGA